rnacentral:rRNA from 1 species
AUGCCACCCUGAACAAGCCCAAUCCCAUCUGAUUUUGGAAGCUAAACAGGGUCGGGCCUGCUUAGUACUUGAGUGGGAGACCACCUAGGAAGACCAGGU